AGCCCCCCUGGUAUCCGCCCCUGCUUCCAGUAGCCUCACAUCGUGUUCCUCCAUCACGCUCAGAUUUCUCAAGAGAGCGUGGGGUGCGAGUUGGGCUGAGCAGUUUCGAGGCAUGUCUAAGGGGCCUAGCUAAGAGGUGGUGGGCCGGCGAUGAACGAAUUAGGCAAGGUCAUAUUGCCGAGGUCCGCAGCUUCUCGCUGACCCUCGUGAUGAGGACGGCAGUUACGUCCUCCGUCCAACUCAGGUAGCAUAGUGCGGGUGCUGUUGAUUAGCGCGGAGCUUGGACAGGCGGUGACAUCGACAUCAUUGGUGGAGGAAGUCGCCGAGAAGCAUGUUUCUUCGGUUGUAUAAAUUUGUUGUAAUAGCUCUCCUUACUUAUGGCACUAGGUCGCAAAGAUAUUUUGAUGGAUCAUUCAUUUGUGUAAACUAAUUCUUUCAAUUUGUUUCGUUUGGCCUU